UACGGAGGGUGCAAGCGUUGUCCGGAUUUAUUGGGUUUAAAGGGUGCGUAGGCGGCUCUUUUAAGUCAGUGGUGAAAUACUGCAGCUCAACUGUAGCAUUGCCAUUGAUACUGAAGAGCUUGAGUACAGAUGAGGUAGGCGGAAUUUAUGGUGUAGCGGUGAAAUGCAUAGAUACCAUAAAGAACACCGAUUGCGAAGGCAGCUUACUAGCUGUAACUGACGCUGAGGCACGAAAGCGUGGGGAGCGAACAGG
rnacentral:rRNA from 1 species